rnacentral:snRNA from 1 species
GUGCUCGCUUUGGCAGCACAUAUACUAAAAUUAGAACAAUAUAGAGAAGAUUAGCAUGCCCCUGCGCAAGGAUGACACACAAAUUCGUGAAGCGUUCCAUAUUUUU